GAUAUGGGUGAAAAAUUCCUCAGAUAAAUAGAUAUCAUAAAGGAAAAACAAUCACAACUUCUAGAAAUGAAAGGAAUACUUAGAGAAAUACAAAAUUCAGUGGAAACAUUCAACAAUAGACUAGAACAAGUAGAAGAAGGAGCUUCAGAGCUAAAAGGCAAGGCUUUCAAAUUAACCCACUAAGACAAAGACAAAGAAAAAAGAAUAAAAACAUGAACAAAGCCUCCAAGAAAUGUGGGAUUCUGUUAAAUGGGCAAACAUAAGGAUAAUUGGUGUUCCUGAAGAAGAAGAAAAAUCUGAAAGUUUGGAAAACUUAUUUGAGAGAAUAAUAGAGGAAAACUUCCCUGGUCUUACUAGAGAUCUAGACAUCCAAAUGUGAUAAGCUCAAAGAACACCUGGAAAAUUCAUCACAAAAAGACCAUCACAUAGGCAUGCAGUCAUUAGUUUAUCUAAUGUCAGGACAAAGGAAAGAAUCUUAAGAGGUGUGAGACAAAAGUAUCAGUUAACCUAUAAAGGAAAAUCUAUCAGAUUAAUAGCAGACGUCUCAGCAGAAACCUUACAAGCAAGAAGGGAUUGGGGUCUCAUCUUCAGUUUCCUGAAACUAAAAAAAAAAAAAAAAAAAAAAAAAAAUUGUCACACAAGGAAUUUGUAUCUAGCAAAGCUAGUUUCAUAAAUGAAGGAGAAAUAAAACAUUUUUAACACAAACAAACGCUGAGAGAAUUCACC
rnacentral:lncRNA from 1 species